CCUACGGGAGGCUGCAGUGGGGAAUAUUGCACAAUGGGGGAAACUCUGAUGCAGCGACGCCGCGUGAGUGAAGAAGUACUUCGUUACGUAAAGCUCUAUCAGCAGGGAAGAAAAUGACGGUACCUGAGUAAGAAGCCGCGGCUAACUACGUGCCAGCAGCCGCGGUAAUACGUAGGGGGCAAGCGUUAUCCGGAUUUACUGGGUGUAAAGGGGGCGUCGGUGGUGCGCCAAGUCUGGAGUGAAAUGCCGCGGCUUAACUGCGGAACUGCUUUGGAAACUGGCGAACUAGAGUGCGGGAGGGGUAAGCGGAAUUCCUAGUGUAGCGGUGGAAUGCGUAGAUAUUAGGAGGAACACCGGUGGCGAAGGCGGCUUACUGGACCGUAACUGACGUUGAGGCUCGAAAGCGUGGGUAUCGAACAGGAUUAGAUACCCCUGUAGUC
rnacentral:rRNA from 1 species